CUCGGGUGGGGGGGUGGGUAAUGUUUAGUAGGUGUUCCUUCUCUUUAGGAAGCAGUAUGUAGGUGAGGUCAUCUUUUGUAUCGUGUAUCUGGGAGCUUUGCGAGUAGGUUUUCGGUCAAGCUUUGUUUGUAUUUGCAGAUGCUUCCACAUCCAGUACCGUGUCGCCUCGUUCCGUGGAGUGUCAUGACUACUUCUCUGUGACUGUCAUGUUAGCAUAUGGGAGCGAAGGUCCGUGUACAAAGGACAAGAAGAUCUUGAGAGCAGGAGCGGCUGUCAAAGUUAAGUCUCUGCCGAAGGGUUCGGUAGCCAGAAGUAUUUGAGCCAUUGAGGCUCCUCGUUUAGGGGCGGGAGUCCUCUAAACUCUCCCCAUUCUGAAUGGGCACGUGAGGGGUGGGCGGGAGCUCGUUGCACGGAGGGAGCGUGCGUUUCCCCCGAGGGAAGGUCGAUCUCUGGCAGAGUGACCUGUCCGUAACUAGAGAUGCUCCGUUCUCAGUUCUUCUUCUCUCGUACGCAGCACUGGGUUUGCAUCACAGGUCACCGCUUCCACCUUGCGUUUUCCUCUACACGGUGGUGGUUUUCCGAGGAGGAUGUGAGCAUCCUCGUUAGCGAUGGGUCACAAUGUGGUGGGACAUGUGGAGGGCCACCAGUAUGUGGAUUAGACUGUUUAGGGUGGGUGGGUGCUUCUCUGAGGGGGCUGUAAUGUUUAGUAGGUGUUCCUUCUCUUAAGGAAGCAGUAUGCAGGUGAAGUCAUGUUUCAUGUUGUGUAGCUGGGCGCUUUGUGAGUCUGUUCGCAGUCCAGCUUUGUUUGUCUUUGCAGACGUGUCCAGAUCUGGCACCGUGUCGUUCCGUGGAGGGUCGUGACUACUUCUCUGCGACCGUAUCAUGACAUCGCCGUACGGCUGUCAACUUAUGGGAGCAAAGGCCUGUGUAUAAAGGACAAGAAGAUCUUGAGAGCGGGAGCAGCUGUCAAAGUUAAGUCUCUGCCGAAGGGUUCGAUAGUCAGAAGUAUUUGUGCCAUUAAGGCUUCUUGUUUAGGGACAGAAGUCCUGUAAACUCUGCUAGUUCUUAACCGGCGUGGGAGGGAGCUCAUUGUACGGAGGGAGCGUGCGCUCUCCUUGGAGGAAGGUCGAGUGCUGGCAGAGUGACCUUUCUGUAACUAGAGAUGCUCCAUUCUCUGUUCUUCUCUCUUACGCAGCACUGGGUUUGCAUCACUGGUCACCACUACCUUGUUUGUCUGUCCUCUACUGGGUGUUGGUUUCCUCAGGAGGAUGUGAGCAUUGUAGUUAGCGAUGGGUCCCAGUCAGGGUGGGAAAAGGCUGUGAGUAUUGUGUAAUUUUUCAGUAUGUUGUGUCUUCAUUUUAACUACAUAGAAGCAGUCGGUUGCUCCUUCAUUGUGGGUAUGAAUGCGUCAGGGCUCUUUCGGCGUGUUGAAUAGGGCAGUUUAGCAAAGGGAAUGUAGUAUUGCGCCGUUGUGGAUUUAGCAAUAAUGUGGCAUUUAUUGUUUGCAUGCCACAGGGGGAUCGGAGUCCAGAACAGAGGGAAUUGGCUGGGGCAAGCGCAGCCCGUUUGGUCUACGUGGCGCCGGCGGGAGCAGAGGAGCCGGUUGCAUCCAUGAGGUACUUAAGAGGCUUCAGGAGGUGCGGUUUGGAGAAGAAUGUCGGGCAAGGUGCGUGUGAGUACUCUUACGGUCCUUCGCGGGGAUGACAGCGGUGGAGGGAAAAUAGAGAGCCGACCUCACGUGCUUCCAAGCUGUGUCUCGUCACAUAUCACUGGCGCGCGCUACUUUUUGUCACCGUCUAAGGAUAAUGAGCUGAUGAUGAAAAUGCGUGAUGAAAUGAAGAGGAGAUAAUGCGGGCGCAUCCGGGGACACGGAAACGUGACAGUCCCGUGCGGAGGUAGAGGAAAUCAUCGUUCAGUCGAGGUUCUGUGCGAAGAUGGGGUCCGAUUUGGCAAAGAACCAGUGAAGUUGAAGUAUGACUGUGGGGGACACGAAGUACUCGUUUCUCAAAAUGGAAGCGGAUUCGAUGUCAGGUUUGCAAGUUAAGUAUGGUUAUCGCUCGUGGUAUUUUUGUCGGCCUAUUCUAUGUCGAAGAUGGGAAAUGCGUUUCACCGGGUGCACGUCAAUGGGAAUUUCACGUGCUUUUGUCGUGUGUGUUUUAGAUGUUUAGCAUUCGUUCUACAGCCGUCGAACGUGCAAAUCUGUUUUUCAUCCUUAUAGGAAGCCAUUUCCGUCCGUGCGGUCCGAAGAUAUCGGUGUUACCGGAGAAUAGUUUGGCGUGCUUCGUUCGGAAGAAUCGGGGUUCGAACGUAUAUUUUUCGGGUUGCAAUGUGAAGUGUCCUCUGUUCGAUGGCUGGAACGUAGUAGAGCAGCAGGGCCGGUGUCACUGCGUUCUGGUAUCUAGCAGAACCGCCAAUAUCACAAAACGGCCUUAUUGUCGGUCGCGCAAUCUCAACCGCAGAGAUUGGGUUCAUUUGUUCGGUCACUCGUGUGAAGCAGUUCCUGUAAUUACUUGCACAAAACGUAACUGUCUUUCGAAAGGAGUAGUUAGUUUGCCACCUGAAACGUUCCAGCCAUCGAAGUCUCAAGAGCACACCGUAAGGGGUUGUAUCAGUGUUUUGGGCAUUCCGAAGUGUUUGUCACUCAUUGCCAUAUCGUUGCACAUGCUGUAUGUGUAGAGCUGUAAUGUAUAGCUUGGGUUGCGGUCAGAUGACUCAUUUAGUCAUCCACGUGGUAGCGUGCUAAGUACUGCAGUGAUCUAGAAACCACGGUGCAGUGCAGUCAAACAGCUAGAAGGCUGACGUCGUUUCCAAUUUGUCAGCCUCUUGGCUGUUUUGCUGCACUGCACCAUGGUUGGGACUGUCCCGGACAGUCUUUGACUUAACUGUUUGCAUAUGGAGGUGCUGUUGAGGGAGCAUUCUGGCCAGUUGCUAGGUGAGUUAUGGUUGAGCCCCAUACCCACCUGUCACAAUAUGUGCAAGGUUUUGUACAGGUGAUGUUUGGAAGUAUAUGGAAAUGAAACAUGAAUGUCGCUUUUGGUGAUCGAUUACAUACCGAGAGUAUAGGAACGUACAGAACGUCUGACAAUGUUUUUGUUUGCAUUGAACAUGUAUGCAGUGUCCAAUAUUUGGAAGCUGUUACUGUACCCGAUGCCAGGUAGAGCCAAUAAAAACACUCUGCUGCU